AUACGGAGGGUGCAAGCGUUAUUCGGAAUCACUGGGCGUAAAGGACGCGUAGGCGGGUUGGCAAGUCAGAUGUGAAAUCCUACAGCUUAACUGUUGAACUGCAUUUGAAACUGCUAACCUAGAGUAUGGGAGGGGGAGAUGGAAUUAGUGGUGUAGGGGUAAAAUCCGUAGAUAUCACUAGGAAUACCGAAAGCGAAGGCGAUCUCCUGGAACAUAACUGACGCUAAGGCGUGAAAGCGUGGGGAGCAAACAGGAUUAGAAACCCUGGUAGUCC
rnacentral:rRNA from 1 species